rnacentral:rRNA from 1 species
GAUAAGUAAUGUGAAUUGCAGAAUUCAGUGAAUCAUCGAAUCUUUGAACGCACCUUGCGCUCCUUGGUUUUCCGAGGAGCAUGCCUGUUUGAGUGUCAU